rnacentral:rRNA from 1 species
GGGAUCCUACGGGAGGCAGCAGUGGGGAAUAUUGGGCAAUGGGCGCAAGCCUGACCCAGCAACGCCGCGUGAAGGAAGAAGGCUUUCGGGUUGUAAACUUCUUUUCUCAAGGACGAAGCAAGUGACGGUACCUGAGGAAUAAGCCACGACUAACUACGUGCCAGCAGCCGCGGUAAUACGUAGGUGGCAAGCGUUAUCCGGAUUUACUGGGUGUAAAGGGCGUGUAGGCGGGAAAGCAAGUCAGAUGUGAAAACCACGGGCUCAACCUGUGGCCUGCGUUUGAAACUGUUUUUCUUGAGUACUGG